rnacentral:lncRNA from 1 species
GGCAGAAGGACAUAGAGGGGACAGGCGGUAGGUCAGGACUUAAGAGCCGGACCCGGGCAGGGGCAGCGUCCCAACCUCACUUUCCUGUUCACAGCAGAGAGCACAGCGUCCUGGAGUCCCCAAUGUCUUCCUCCUCCCGAAAUAAUCAAAACCGCUGAGCCUGGGUAGCCUCCACAAGGCAGGGGUUUGUGCCACAUCUCCUUUCCACUUCCCACGGUGCAGGCUGACGCACAGCCGGCACUCAGAGCCCAGACGCGCAAGGAUGUUCCCGUGCCCCCACAAGAUACACAGACGAGUUCCUGCAGGGUGACUGCCAGAUUUCAGCCAGCGGCAAACCCAGCGGCGGCAGGAACUCGGAGCGCUCCCUAACCUCGCGGGGCAGCGGGGACCCAGCGCCCUGGCCUCCUCGGGCGCCCCGGCAGGGCGCGCGCCAGGUCCCAGGCCGGCGCGGGGCCCCAGGACCCUUAUCUUCUUCGUCUUGGGUAUCCUGCUGCCGGUCUGACCUCCAGCGUCCCCAGUAUUCCAUUCUUCUCCUCUCCUGCACAGCCACGAGCCCAGGGCUCUGUAUAAACAGCUAAUAAUCCCACAGCUGGGACCUGGGGGCCUCUCUUCCUGCGGAAGGUGGUGCGAAGUUCUUGCUUUGAUUUCUCUUUUGAGACAGAAAAGCAGCUAGUGGUGAGCUUGGAGAUGAAACUCAAUAUGGACAAAAGUGCAGCUUCAAGAGUUCUUUCCCAUGGUGAUUAAGGCUGCUUAGAUGUAAAAAAAAAAAAUUUUAAUGACAAACCAAGGUUACAGGAAUAGUGACAUUUUAAAUGUUUUUGUUUAAAUAAUUAAUACUAAAUUCAAAAAAGCAGUCAUUUUGUGCUCAUAAAAUAAUUCCAGAACUUAUUUUUCUUAAAAUAUUUUGUAUUAAGUGGGAUCCACAUUUAACGCUGCUUCGAGAAUGGCUCCAUUUAGUCAGGACCUGGUGGCUCGGUGACUGCAAGGAUACCUGUGUCAAGAAGGUGAAAAUCUAACGUUCACGUUUUGGGGAAUGACGUCCCAGUGCUCUAGUCACCCCUCGAGAAGUCUCGCCUUUUCUACGCAUUUACAUGCUUGACCAUUCUUGAAACUCUGAGCCAAGAACAACUUACAUUCGAUUUUUAAAGUACCUUAAGAUUUAUCUUAUUUUUUAAAUAAUGACAUAGUGUCUUAUUGCUUGCGUGAACUACGGUUUAUUGUACUUUCCCCUCUUAUGGAUAGCUGUUUCAAUUAUAUCCUAUUUAUGUUUUUGCCAAUUCCAGCAGCAUUGUAGUAAAUACCUUUGUAGGUAUCAAAUAUCCAUAUAGCCAUGUUAUGUAAUUACUUGCAAGUGGAAUGGUUGGGUC